CAAGUCGAACGGUCCGCUUCGGCGGAUAGUGGCGCACGGGUGCGUAACACAUAUGCAACCUACCUUACAUUGGGGGAUAGCCUUUCGAAAGGGAGAUUAAUACCGCAUAAGACAGUAGCUGGGCAUCCAGUAGCUGUUAAAGAUUUAUCGAUGUAAGCUGGGCAUGCGUCCAAUUAGUUAGUUGGUGAGGUAACGGCUCACCAAGACGAUGAUUGGUAGGGGAACUGAGAGGUCAAUCCCCCACACUGGCACUGAGAUACGGGCCAGACUCCUACGGGAGGCAGCAGUAGGGAAUAUUGGGCAAUGGACGCAAGUCUGACCCAGCCAUGCCGCGUGCAGGAAGAAGGCGUUCUGCGUUGUAAACUGCUUUUAUAUAGGAAGAAACGACCCUUGCGAGGGGCAUUGACGGUAUUAUAUGAAUAAGCACCGGCUAACUCCGUGCCAGCAGCCGCGGUAAUACGGAGGGUGCAAGCGUUGUCCGGAUUUAUUGGGUUUAAAGGGUGCGCAGGUGGUUUAUUAAGUCAGUGGUGAAAGACGGUCGCUCAACGAUUGCAGUGCCAUUGAUACUGAUAGACUUGAGUAAAGUAGAGGUGGGCGGAAUUGAUAGUGUAGCGGUGAAAUGCAUAGAUAUUAUCAAGAACUCCGAUUGCGAAGGCAGCUCACUUGGCUUUUACUGACACUCAUGCACGAAAGUGUGGGUAUCAAACAGGAUUAGAUACCCUGGUAGUCCACACUGUAAACGAUGAUAACUAGGUGUUGGCCGAAUCUGGUCAGUGCCACAGCGAAAGCGUUAAGUUAUCCACCUGGGGAGUACGCCGGCAACGGUGAAACUCAAAGGAAUUGACGGG
rnacentral:rRNA from 1 species